CAGCCGCCGCGGUAAUACGUAGGGUGCGAGCGUUAAUCGGAAUUACUGGGCGUAAAGCGUGCGCAGGCGGUUCGUUAAGACAGAUGUGAAAUCCCCGGGCUUAACCUGGGAACCGCGCUUGUGACUGCACAGCUAGAGUAUGGCAGAGGGGGGUGGAAUUCCACGUGUAGCAGUGAGAUGCGUAGAGAUGUGGAGGAACACCGAUGGCGAAGGCAGCCCCCUGGGCCAAUACUGACGCUCAUGCACGAAAGCGUGGGGAGCAAACAGGAUUAGAUACCCCAGUAGUCCCUGUCUCUUAUAC
rnacentral:rRNA from 1 species